AUGACAGCCAUGUUUUCCUUCGGCCUCGUGCUUCUGGAGAUCAUCACUGGCAAGAGAGCGGUCCUGUCCAACGAGCCCGACGAGGACGAAGAGACUCUGGUCUCUUGGGUCGGGUUGUCGCAGGUUCCAUGGAGCCCCCCUCCCCUCGUCAGGCUCGGCGCCAAGAGCGAGGAGCUGCUCUUCGCCUCGCCUCGCCUCGCACAAGCGACGUCGUCAGACCGCCCAUGGCGUGGACGGCGACGACGACAGGAGGAUGCCAGUUCUAGCCGGGAACAUGGCCUUGUCCUGCUCGAGGAGGAGGGACGCACCUAG
rnacentral:rRNA from 1 species